UACAUUUAGGAACGCUAUGGAUUCAUACAUUUUAUGAGAAACAGAUGAAAAUGAAAGAAGCGGUUAAGAAUAUUUCAAUACAAUGGAUUUAUCCUGUAUUUUUAUAGACUCUGAAUCGAACAAGCUGAUGUGUCAUAAAGAAGUAGUAUUGGAUGAAUGAAAGUAAGUCAUAAAAAUGUGGCGAAGAAGAACCCCUCACUGGCAGCAACUGGAAAUGAAAUGUAGUAAAAAAAAAAAAAAAAAUAGUGGAAGAUUGUCGAAAUCCAGGGCCAUCGCGAAAACCUGUCGAGUGGAGGAGCAUCCAAUUCAAUCGCUCGGACCUAAAUCCGACUUGCCAAAAGAAGUGCAAAAAAGAGACGGGAGAAGGAAGAUGCAAGUAGAGAAAGAAGGGUACCGAGCUAAAAAGCGAGCUUAUCUCGAUAAGUCCAGUAAUAAAAUUGGCGUUUUGUUGGUCGUUGGGGGAUAUAGUAUAAGUACCAGCCAGCCUCGCCCUCGCUUUAGGUUCAAACCUUCGGAGAACCAUCGUUUGUAACGUUAGCCUAGCACGGGGGAAGGCGAAAGGAGAGCUUGCUUUUGCUAGUAGGACUGGAAUGAACGUAUUCGAACAGCCAAUUGAAAGUUUUUACGGGGGAUCUGUUUGGGGAAAUCGCCAGGAGGCCAUUCAGCCAGUCCAUCAUGGCCGGGCCGGACUAAGACCAUUGCAGGCACUUCGAAGAUUUUCUAAAGGCCAGCUCCCUCACUGCUCUGUCGGAGCUCUGUGUCGAAGACGAAGGUUCUUUUUU